UACGGAGGGUGCAAGCGUUGUCCGGAUUUAUUGGGUUUAAAGGGUGCGUAGGCGGCCCGUUAAGUCAGUGGUGAAAGCCUCCAGCUCAACUGGAGAACUGCCAUUGAUACUGGCGGGCUUGAGUACAGACGAGGUAGGCGGAAUUGAUUGUGUAGCGGUGAAAUGCAUAGAUAUCUGGAGGAACCCCGGUGGCGAAGGCGGCGUUCUGGACUGCAACUGACACUGAGAGACGAAAGCCAGGGGAGCAAACGGG
rnacentral:rRNA from 1 species